rnacentral:rRNA from 1 species
AUUGAACGCUGGCGGCAGGCCUAACACAUGCAAGUCGAACGGUAACAGGAAGAAGCUUGCUUCUUUGCUGACGAGUGUCGGACGGGUGAGUAAUGUCUGGGAAACUGCCUGAUGGCGGGGGAUAACUACUGGAAACGGUAGCUAAUACCGCAUAACGUCGCAAGACCAAAAAGGGGGACCUUCUGGCCUCUUGCCAUCGGAUGUGCCCAGAUGGGAUUAGCUAGUAGGUGGGUAACGGCUCACCUAGGCGACGAUCCCUAGCUGGUCUGAGAGGAUGACCAGCCACACUGGAACUGAGACACGGUCCAGACUCCUACGGGAGGCGGCAGUGGGGAAUAUUGCACAAUGGGCGCAAGCCUGAUGCAGCCAUGCCGCGUGUAUGAAGAAGGCCUUCGGGUUGUAAAGUACUUUCAGCGGGGAGGAAGGGAGUAAAGUUAAUACCUUUGCUCAUUGACGUUACCCGCAGAAGAAGCACCGGCUAACUCCGUG